AUUGAACGCUGGCGGCAUGCCUUACACAUGCAAGUCGAACGGCAGCACGGGAGCAAUCCUGGUGGCGAGUGGCGAACGGGUGAGUAAUAUAUCGGAACGUGCCCAGUCGUGGGGAUAACGUGGCGAAAGCUACGCUAAUACCGCAUACGAUCUAUGGAUGAAAGCGGGGGAUCGCAAGACCUCGCGCGAUUGGAGCGGCCGAUAUCAGAUUAGGUAGUUGGUGAGGUAAAGGCUCACCAAGCCGACGAUCUGUAGCUGGUCUGAGAGGACGACCAGCCACACUGGGACUGAGACACGGCCCAGACUCCUACGGGAGGCAGCAGUGGGGAAUUUUGGACAAUGGGCGCAAGCCUGAUCCAGCAAUGCCGCGUGCAGGAUGAAGGCCUCGGUUGUAACUAGCUUUGUACGGUAACGAAACGGUAGG
rnacentral:rRNA from 1 species